rnacentral:misc_RNA from 1 species
GGGAGAGGUGAUGUUUAGAGGAAAUGUUGUGAUGAAUGGGUACUUGAAGAAUGCCAAAGCUACAGAAGAAGCUUUUAAAGGGGGUUGGUUUCGAACUGGGGACUUGGCUGUGAAGCAUCCAGAUGGUUACAUCGAAUUGAAGGAUCGUGCUAAGGACAUCAUUAUAUCCGGUGGAGAAAACAUUAGUACAAUCGAGGUGGAGUCGGUUUUAUUCAGCCAUCCAUCUAUUCUUGACGCUGCUGUAGUAGGAAGACCAGAUGAUUACUGGGGUGAGACACCUUGUGCCUUUGUAAAACUAAAGGAUGGUAACAAUGCAACUAUGGAUGAAAUCAUCAAGUAUUGUCGUGAUCGUUUACCACAUUACAUGGCUCCGAAAACAGUAAUUUUCGAUGAUUUGCCCAAAACAUCUACAGGAAAGACACAAAAAUUUGUUUUGAGACAGAGGGCCAA